GGAGAGGUCGCAUAGUGGUCUAGUGCGCUCGCUUGGAAAGCGAGUGUGCCGAAAGGCACCGCGAGUUCGAAUCUCGCCCUCUCCG
rfam:Parcubacteria (Giovannonibacteria) bacterium GW2011_GWA1_44_25 TW53_C0024, whole genome shotgun sequence.